rnacentral:rRNA from 1 species
GGACCAAGUCGUCGGUCGUGCUUAGGUACGUACUGGCGUCAUUGAUUCCUCCUUCCUGAUGAACCUUAAUGCCAUUUAUUUGGUGUUUUGGGGAAUUUGGACUGUUACUUUGAAAAAAUUAGAGUGUUUAAAGCAAGCUAACGCUUGAAUACAUUAGCAUGGAAUAAUGAAAUAGGACGUUCGAUCCUAUUUUGUUGGUUUCUAGGAUUGACGUA